UUCUUUCGGCUGAAUACCCGAAACUGGAGACUUUGACUGGUGGAUGGCUAAUUUAUAAAGCAUCGGGAGGAAGUGGCCAGAGAAAACUUUCUGUGAUCCCACCCGAGUCCGAAGGCUACACAGCAAAAAUGCUAAAGGGCAUUUCAAAUAAUGGAAAACACACGCUUUUCGUUAUUCCACUUCAAGAGGAACUAGACACCACGCCUCUUCCCGCUGAUGCCCCUGAGUUCUGCAAAAUGCCUACAUCUCAAUGCAGGACCUGUGGAGAAACGUUACCCCUACAGUUUCUUGCUCUACAUGUUGAGUCUUGUAGCAAGUCUGCAGAAGAUACUGAACAAGAAAUUGAUGAAGAUUCAGAUGAAAAGCAAGACCAUGAUGAUCAAGACAAUACUUCCCCAGUCGCGAGUGAGAAAGAGUGUCCCAUAUGCCAAGUAGUGUACCCUGCUGACAUCAUCGAGAUGCAUGCCAGUGCCUGCGUUGAGAGGACAUCAACUCUGGAAGGGCUUUCGUAUGGUGGCGCCGGAGUGGAUGUAGAGGCAUUGGAAGAACCAUCUGCCACAUCUUCACAGAUGACACCAUGGCAAAAUCAGCCAACAAGUUCUGCCGGACCCUC